CAGUCGCCACGGGAACACGGAGGGUGCAAGCGUUAAUCGGAAUUACUGGGCGUAAAGCGCACGCAGGCGGUCUGACAAGUCAGAUGUGAAAUCCCCGGGCUUAACCUGGGAACUGCAUUUGAAACUGUCAGGCUGGAGUCUUGUAGAGGGGGGUGGAAUUCCAGGUGUAGCGGUGAAAUGCGUAGAGAUCUGGAGGAAUACCGGUGGCGAAGGCGGCCCCCUGGACAAAGACUGACGCUCAGGUGCGAAAGCGUGGGGAGCAAACAGGAUUAGAGACCCGCGUAGUCCCUUCUCUUAUACA
rnacentral:rRNA from 1 species